AAUUCAUUAAUUAUAUUUUUGUGUUUGACAAGACCUUCGGACUUGUGUCUACGUACCAACAUAAAAAUGAGGGAUCAAAACCCCGUAGUUCGUGGUAUCAAUUUCAAAGUGGGUGCAUUGCUUUUAAAAAAAAAAAAUUAAGAUUGACAAAGGCACAAAAGGCCUAAAAAAUGGUUUAAAUGAGUGUUAGUUCUUUUUGGCUUUUGAAAAUUUUAAGUCAAGUAUAGUUAAGUUUAUUUACAAGUUUAUUUAAGAAAGGAGUUUGAAAAUGCAAUGGCAUAAGGCCAA
rnacentral:lncRNA from 1 species